GGGGAAUUUUCCGCAAUGGGCGAAAGCCUGACGGAGCAAUACCGCGUGAGGGAGGAAGGCUCUUGGGUUGUAAACCUCUUUUCUCAGGGAAGAACACAAUGACGGUACCUGAGGAAUAAGCAUCGGCUAACUCCGUGCCAGCAGCCGCGGUAAUACGGAGGAUGCAAGCGUUAUCCGGAAUGAUUGGGCGUAAAGCGUUCGUAGGUGGUUCUUCAAGUCUGCUGUCAAAGCGCAGGGCUUAACUCUGUACAGGCGGUGGAAACUGAAGAGCUAGAGUGCGGUAGGGGUAGAGGGAAUUCCCGGUGUAGCGGUGAAAUGCGUAGAGAUCGGGAAGAACACCAGCAGCGAAAGCGCUCUACUGGGCCUGCACUGACACUGAGGGACGAAAGCUAGGGGAGCGAAUGGGAUUAGAUACCCCAGUAGUCCUAGCCGUAAACGAUGGAUACUAGGUGUUGCCUGUAUCGACCCGGGCAGUGCCGUAGCUAACGCGUUAAGUAUCCCGCCUGGGGAGUACGCGCGCAAGCGUGAAACUCAAAGGAAUUGACGGGGGCCCGCACAAGCGGUGGAGUAUGUGGUUUAAUUCGAUGCAACGCGAAGAACCUUACCAGGGCUUGACAUGUCGCGAACCUCAGGGAAACUUGAGGGUGCCUUCGGGAGCGCGAACACAGGUGGUGCAUGGCUGUCGUCAGCUCGUGUCGUGAGAUGUUGGGUUAAGUCCCGCAACGAGCGCAACCCUCGUCCUAAGUUGCCAGCAUUAAGUUGGGCACUCUGAGGAGACUGCCGGUGACAAACCGGAGGAAGGUGGGGAUGACGUCAAGUCAGCAUGCCCCUUACGUCCUGGGCUACACACGUACUACAAUGCUACGGACAAAGGGCAGCCAGACAGCAAUGUCGAGCAAAUCCCAUAAACCGUGGCACAGUUCAGAUUGCAGGCUGCAACUCGCCUGCAUGAAGGUGGAAUCGCUAGUAAUCGCAGGUCAGCAUACUGCGGUGAAUCCGUUCCCGGGCCUUGUACACACCGCCCGUCACACCAUGGAAGCUGGCUUAGCCCGAAGUCGUUACCCUAACCCGCAAGGGAGGGGGACGCCGAAGGCAGGGCUGGUGACUGGGGUGAAGUCGUAACAAGGUAGCCGUACCGGAAGGUGUGGCUGGAUCACCUCCUU
rnacentral:rRNA from 1 species